AUGCGCCCACACGGCCAUGGUGACCGGGCAGCACCAAGGCACGGGCUCUCUGCCCAAGAGCACCGUGCUACCACCACCAGGGCCACCGCCUCGGCAUCCAAGACCUUAACACCACCUCACCCGAGACCCGCCGCAACCCCAACAAAAAAAACGAGCGGAAAGGUCCCACCUUUCGUACCCCUGGGCGACCCCCAGCGUCGAGACCCAACAGGCCGGCCAGAACUGGCAUCCACCGACCCGUCCUGCUACCCCGAGCGCGAGACGAGUUCGGUCCUGCAGCACCGGGAGGGGGACGAGGUUAGUCCUGCUGCACCGUGCGCGAGACGAGCUCAGUCCUGCAGCAUCGGGAGGGGGACGAGGUUAGUCCUUCUGCACCGUGCGCGAGACGAGCUCGGUUCUGCAGCACCGGGCGCGAGACAAGCGGUGGACCACAAUUGA
rnacentral:rRNA from 1 species